rnacentral:rRNA from 1 species
AGUGAACGCUGGCGGUAGGCCUAACACAUGCAAGUCGAACGGCAGCACAGUAAGAGCUUGCUCUUACGGGUGGCGAGUGGCGGACGGGUGAGGAAUACAUCGGAAUCUACUUUUUCGUGGGGGAUAACGUAGGGAAACUUACGCUAAUACCGCAUACGACCUACGGGUGAAAGCAGGGGAUCUUCGGACCUUGCGCGAUUGAAUGAGCCGAUGUCGGAUUCGCUAGUUGGCGGGGUAAAGGCCCACCAAGGCGACGAUCCGUAGCUGGUCUGAGAGGAUGAUCAGCAACACUGGAACUGCGACACGGUCCAGACUACUACGGGCGGCAGCAGUGGGGAAUAUUGGACAAUGGGCGCAAGCCUGAUCCAGCCAUACCGCGUGGGUGAAGAAGGCCUUCGGGUUGUAAAGCACUUUUGUUGGGAAAGAAAAGCAGCAGGUUAAUACCCCGCUGUUCUGACGGUACCCAAAGAAUAAGCACCGGCUAACUUCGUG